AUUGAACGCUGGCGGCAUGCCUUACACAUGCAAGUCGAACGGCAGCAUGAUCUAGCUUGCUAGAUUGAUGGCGAGUGGCGAACGGGUGAGUAAUACAUCGGAACGUGCCCUGUAGUGGGGGAUAACUAGUCGAAAGAUUAGCUAAUACCGCAUACGACCUGAGGGUGAAAGUGGGGGACCGCAAGGCCUCAUGCUAUAGGAGGGGCCCAUGUCUGAUUAGCUAGUUGGUGAGGUAAAGGCUCACCAAGGCGACGAUCAGUAGCUGGUCUGAGAGGACGAUCAGCCACACUGGGACUGAGACACGGCCCAGACUCCUACGGGAGGCAGCAGUGGGGAAUUUUGGACAAUGGGGGCAACCCUGAUCCAGCAAUGCCGCGUGUGUGAAGAAGGCCUUCGGGUUGUAAAGCACUUUUGUCCGGAAAGAAAUCGCACUUACUAAUAUUAGGUGUGGAUGACGGUACCGGAAGAAUAAGGACCGGCUAACUACGUGCCAGCCGCCGCCGUAAGAC
rnacentral:rRNA from 1 species